AUACUUAUCUGGUAGGGGAGAUAUCACCAUCACCAGGGUGGUUUUCCCAGGGCAAGGCUAAUCCAUUGCAUGGAUGUCCUGACCCCUGCAAUUUCAUCAAAUGUGGGAAAGUUGACUGCAUAAUUGGUGGUAGGGGGAAAAAUACAUUCUCCCCC
rnacentral:snRNA from 1 species